UGCCAGCCGCCGCGGUAAUACGAAGGGGGCAAGCGUUGUUCGGAAUGACUGGGCGUAAAGGGCGCGUAGGCUGUAUAUUAAGUUAGAUGUGAAAGUCUUGGGCUUAACCUGAGGAUUGCAUCUAAUACUGGUAUGCUAGAGUUUGAGAGGGGAAAAUGGAAUUAUGAGUGUAGAGGUGAAAUUCGUAGAUAUUCAUAGGAACACCAGAGGCGAAGGCGAUUUUCUGGCUCAAAACUGACGCUGAGGCGCGAAAGCGUGGGGAGCAAACAGGAUUAGAUA
rnacentral:rRNA from 1 species